rnacentral:rRNA from 1 species
UACGUAGGUGGCGAGCGUUGUCCGGAUUUACUGGGCGUAAAGAGCGCGCAGGCGGUCGUUCAAGUCGCGUGUGAAAGCCCCCGGCUCAACUGGGGAGGGUCACGCGAUACUGAUCGACUCGAAGGCAGGAGAGGGUAGUGGAAUUCCCGGUGUAGUGGUGAAAUGCGUAGAUAUCGGGAGGAACACCAGUGGCGAAGGCGGCGCUCUGGGCCGGUACUGACACUGAGGAGCGAAAGCGUGGGUAGCAAACAGG